rnacentral:sRNA from 1 species
GUAAAGAGCAAGUGGCGCGCUCAAGCGAUUAUCUCGAUGGCCAGUUGAGCUUUCGCGAGAAACUGAUGGUGCGUCAUCACCUGAUGUUCUGCCCCAACUGUCGGCGUUUCAUUCGUCAGAUGCGUUUGAUGCAGGCCACGCUGAAGGCGAUGCCGCAGAAACCCGAAGAGGG